AGUAAUAGAUAAGAUGGGAAGUUUGACACAUCAUGAAGUCGGAGACAACAGGUGGAGUCUGACCAUCUAAUUCAGAGUUGCCAUGAGGUAUGUUACACACAAAUUGAGAGACGCCAGGGGUACUAUUCUAAAUGAAGUCAGAGAUGCCAGCAGAACUGUUACAUAUGAAGUUAUAGAUGGCAGGGGCAAUGUGAUGCAUGAACUCAGAGAUAAAAUGGGGAGUGUGACACGAAGUCAAGACACCACAUGGAUUCUUAUACGUGAAGUCAGAGAUGCGAUGGUUAGAGUUACACACAAAAUCAGAGACACCAGUGGAGUUGAUAUGCAUGAUUUCAGAGACCCCAGAUGGUCAAUGACACAUGAAGUGGGAAAUGCCACUUGGAAUGUUAUGCACGAAGUCAGAGACAUCAAUUUGAGUGUUACACAUGAAGUCAGAGACGCCAGGGGAAGUGUUACAAAUGAGGUCAUAAAUACUAUGGGGAGCAUUACUGUCCUGUGAAACAGGAAGUCAGACAAAUGGUCAAAGGUGACACGUGAAGUCAGAGGUGAUAUGAGGGUGAGUGACGUGAAUUCAUAGAUAACACAUUGAUGUUACACAUGAAGUAAGAGAUGGGAACCACACAAAAAUCCUAGAGGCCAGAGGGGAUUAUUAUAGUCCAAGGCAGAAAUGUCCCGUGCAGUGUUCCACAUUAAGUCAGACACUCCAGCGGGACUGUGACACAUGAAGUCAGAGGUGAAAUGUACAGUGUUCCAUAGCAUGUCAAAGACAACACUGGAAGUGUUACAACUGAAAUCUGAGACCCCAUGGGUAGUGUUCCACAAGAAGAUGGAGAUGCCAGGGAGAGUGUGACACAGGAAGUCACUGAUGCUAUGUAGAGUGUGACACACAAAGUCAGAGACAACAAGGGUGGUAAGAUACACAAAGUCAGAGACAUCAGGGAGUGUGUGACACACAACCUCAGAGACACCAAUGGGGACUGUUACAUACAAAAUUAAAGACACCAGGUGAAGUGUUAUAACCGAUAUGUCAGUGGAUGUGUUAUACACAAAGUUAUAGAUGGCAGGGGGAAUGUGAAGCAGAAACUCAAAGACAUCAGAGGGAGUGUAAAACAUGAAGUCAGAGACACCAUGGGGUGUGUUACACAUGAGAUCAGAGAUGUCAGGGAGAGUGUGAUACAUGAAGUCAUGGACAUGAGGUGGAGUAUGACACAGGAAGUCAGUGAAGGCACAGGGAUUGUUAUACAUGAAAACAAAGAUGCCAGAGGAGCAUGACACAUGAAUUCACAAAUGCCAAGAGGGAGGAUUAUCCAUGAAGUCAAAGACAUCAAGGAGAAUGUAACACACAAUGUCAGAGACUACGAGUAUAUUGAAUCACACAGUGACACAGACAACAUCUGGAGUGUGACACACUAAGUCAGAGAUGACAUAUGGGGUGUGACAUUAAUUCAGAAUGACAUUUUGGGUGUGACACACGAAGUCAGAGACACCACGUGUAGUGUUACACUUGAAGUCAGAAACACCACGGGAAGAGUUAUGCACAAUGUCAGAGAGGACAGGGGAAGUGUUAUGCAAGAUAGACAUGAUAUCGGUUGUGUGACACAUGCACUCAUAGACACCACGAGUAGUGUGCGGCAUAAGGUCAGUGACGACAGGUGGAGUGAUAUGAACAAAGUCACAGGCUAUAGGGGGAGUGUUACACACGAAUCAGACACAACAGGGUGAGUGUUACAUAGGAAGUGAGAUAUUCAACAGUGAGUGUUACACUCAAAGUCAGAGAAGCGAGGGGUAGUAUGACACACAAAGCAGAGAAACUAGUGUGUUAAACAAGAAGUCUGAGUCUCCAAUGGGGAGUGUUACACUAGAAGGCAUAAAGGCCACUUUGAGUGUUACACACAAAGUCAUAGACACCAGGGGGAGUGUUUCCCACAAAUCGGAGGCACCAUGUGGAGUAUUACACAUGAAGUCUGGCACGCCACAGGGGAGUGUUACACAUGAAGGAAGAAAUGCCACAUGGAGUGUUACACCCAGAGUCAGAGACACCAGGAGGAGUGUUUCACACAGAGUCUGAAAUGCCACAUGGUUUGUUACACAGAAAGUCUGUGAUCCCAGGGGAUGUGUGACCCAAGAUGUCAGACAUACUAAGGGGAUUUUGAUAACUAAAUCAGAGACCCAAGAUGCAGUGUGACACACAAAGUCAGAGAAGACAGGGUGAGUGUGAUGCAUGGACUCUGAGAAACAAGGGGGAGUGAGACACACAAAGUCAGUGACAACACCAAGUUUAUUACACUAAAGCCAGAGACAAGAUGGGUAGUGUGUUACACAAAGUCAAGGAUGCUAGUCAGAGCAUGGCAAAUGAAGAUAGAGAUGACAUGGGGAGUGUUACACAGGAAAUCUGAGAAGCCAUGGGGCAUGUGACACAAGAAAGAAAGACCAGGCAUAGUAUUACACAGGAAGUCAGAGACACCAGCUAGUGUGUUACACAUGAAGUCAGAGAUGUUACCCAGAGUGUGACACAUGAAGUGAGAGAUACCAGAGGAACUGUGACACACAAAAUGAGAGACUAUAGGGGGAUUGUGACACAUGAAUUCAGAGAUGCCACAUGAUACUGUUACACACUAAGUCAAAGACACCAGUGGGAGUGUUACACACAAAGUCAGAGACAACAGGAUGUGUGUAAAACAUGAAGUCAUAGGUGGCAUAUUGAGUGUUACACAUGAACUCACAGCUCACAGACACUAGGUGGAGUGUUACACAUGAAGUCACAGAUGCCAGGGGGAGUGUUACUAAUCAAGUCAAAAUCGCCAAGGGUAGGUUGACACUCGAAGUCAGAGAAGAUAAGAGGAGUGUGACACAAAGUCCAGGAUGCCAAGUGUAGUGUGACACAUGAAGUCAGACAUGGCAAAGGAGAGUAUUACAAGUGAAGUCAAAGACACCAUUUGGAAUGUUACACACAAAGUCAGAGACUGCCCAGGGAGUGUUAAGAACAAAGUCAAAGACAUGAGGGGAAGUGUGACACGUGAAGUCAGAGGUGCCACCGUGACUGUUACCCACAAAGUCAGAGAUGCCUUAGUGAACGUUACACACUUAUACAAUGAUGCCAGGCAGAGUAUGAGACACAAAGUAAGAGCUGCCAUGGGGAUUGUUACACACAAAAUCUGAGAUUCCAGAGGAGUGAGACACAAAGUCAGAAUCACCAGGGGUAGUGUUAUACAGAAAGUCAGAGGCACCAGGGAGUGUGUUACACAUUAUGUCAGAUCCUCCUUGGGAGUGUGACACACGAAAUCAGAGACACCAGGGGAAAUGUGAGACACGAAGUCUGAGGCAUUACGAGGAGUGUUAAACAGAAAGUCCUAGAAGCCAGAGGGAUUGUGACACAUGAAGUUAGAGACACCAUGUGGAUUGUGACACACGAAGUCAGAGAUACAAUGAUGAAUGCUACACUUAAAGUCAAAGACUCCAGGGGUAGUGUGACACAAAAUCAGAGACAAUAGUGUGAGUGUUAGACAAGAAUUCUGAAACUCCACAGGGGAGUGUUACACUUCAAGGCAAAGAUGACAUGUUGAGUCUCAAACAUGAAGUCAGCAACACCAGGGUGUGUGUACCACACAAAGUCUGGGACACCACAUGGAGUGUUAUACACAAAGUUGGAGACAAAAUGUGGAGUGUUACACACGAAGUCAGGGACACCACAUUGAGAGUUACACACGAAUUCCCAGAUGCCACAGGGCAGUGUUACACCAGAAGGAAGAAAUGCCAUGUGAAGUGUCACACACGAUGUCUAGACACCAGGGGAAUUCUUACACAUGAAGUCAGACAUGCAAUGUGGAGUGUUACACAUAAAUUCAGAGACACCUUGGGGAGUGUUAGUCACGGAGUCAGGAAUGCCAAGUUUUCUGUUACACAUGAAGUUUAUGAUGCCAGUGGGACUGUGACACAUGAAGUCAGAGAUGCUAGGUGGAGUUUGACACAGGACGUCAGAGAACAAAGGUGCAGUGUGCCACACAAACUCAUAGACGCCAUGGGGAUUGUGACACAUAAAGUUAGAGACACCAGGGUGAUUCUGAUACACUAAGUGAGAGACACCACAGUAAAUGUUACACACUAAAUCAGGAGCGCCAGGGGUUGUUUGUCACUUGAAGUCAGAAAAGACUGUCGAGUGUGACCCUCAAAGUUAGAUGCCAAGUGGAAUGUUACAGAUCAAUUCAGAGAUGAAAUGUGGAGUGUUAUACACAAAGUCAGAGACACCAGUUGGAGUAUUAUACAUGAAGUCAGAGAUGCAGAGGGAGUGUGAAACAUGAAGUCAGGGACCCCAGGCAGAAUGUGACACACGAAGUCAGAGAUGCCAUGGUGACUGUUACACACAAAGUCAGAGAUGACAGAGCUCAAGUGACACACGAAGUAAGAGACACCAGGGGGAGUGUUCCUCACGAAUUCAGACAUGCCACGAGACAGUGUUAACAAGAAGUGAAAGACACCAGUGGGAGUGUUAGACACAGUGUCAGAGAUAACAGGACAUGUGUUGCACACAAAGUCAGAGGCAGCAUAUUGAGUGUUACACACGAACUCACAGAUACCAGGUGGAGUGUUACAGACAGAAUCACAGAGGCCAGGGAAAGUGUUACAAACCAAGUCAGAAAUGUCAAAGGGACUGAUACACACGAAGUUAGAGACAUCAAGGGGACUGUGACAUACAAUGUCAGAGAUUCCAGGGGCAGUGUGACACAUGAAGUCAGACUGGCCACAUGGAGUCUUACACAUGCAUUCAGAGAUGCCAGAGUGAGUGUAACUCACCAAGUCAGAGACACAAGGAGGAAUGCUACCCAUGAAGUCAGAGUCACCAGGUGGAGAGUGACACAUGAACAUAAGUAAACCACUUGGAAAGUGACAAAUGAAGUCAGGGAUGAUUGGGGGCGUGUGACACACGAAGUCAGACACUGCACAUAUAGUGUUAUGCAUGAUUUCAAAGACACCAGGGGUUGAUUUACACGCAAAGUCACUAGACCAGGAGGAGCAUUACACACAAAUUCAGAGGUGCCAUGGGGGAGUGUUACAGACAAUGUCAAGCACACCAGGGAGAGUGUUACACAUGAAGACAGAGAUGAGAGGGGAAGUGUGAAACACGAAGUAGAGAUGCCAUGUGGGUCUGUUAGGCAUGAAGUAAAUGACACCAGGGUGACUGUUACAACUAAGUCGGAGGUGAAAGGGAGAGUGUGACAAAUGAAGUGAGAGAUGAUAUGUGCAGUGUUGCACACGAAGUCAGAGAUGCCAGAGGAAGUGUGACACAUAAAGUCAGAGACCAGAGGUGAAGUGUGAAACUCAAAGUUAGACACAACCCGGAGGACUGUUACACAUGAAGUCAAAGAUGCCAUGUUGAUCAUUAUGCAUGAAGUCAGAGAUGCUACCUCGAGCGCUAUACACAAAUUCAAAUACACCACAGGGGACUUAAAACACAUGGUUAAAACACCAGGGUUAGGAUUAUGCACAAAGCCAAAGACACAAGGGGGAGUGUUACAUAUGUACUAAAGUACGCAAGAUGGAGAGUGACACAUGAAGUCAAAGAUUAGUGGGGGAGUGUGACACACGAUGUCAGAGAUGCCAUGGGGAAGCAUUACACAAGAAGUCAGUGAUGCCAAGGGGAGUGUGACACACUGAAUCAGAGACUAUAGGUGGAGUGUUACUAACAAAGUCAGAGAAGCCAAGAGAGUGUUACACAGAAAUUCAGAGAUGCCACAGGGGAGUGUUAUGCUUGAAGUCAAAGACACCAGGUGGAGUGUUACACACGAAGUCAGAGAUGCGUCAUGGAUUGCUACACACAAAGUCACAUACAACAUUAGGAGUGUUACAGGCAAAGUAAGAGAGGCAUGGGGGAGUGUUAUGCACAAAAUGAAGGACUCCAGGGUAAGUGUGACACAGGAAGUCAGAGACACCAGAGUGACUGUUACACAUGAAGUCUGAAACACCACAGGGAGUGUUACACAUGAAGUCAGAAACACCAGUUGAAGUGUUAAACACAAACUCAGAGACACACAAAGUCAGAGACAGUAUGGAAAUUGUGACAGGCAAACUAAGAGACUACAUUUGGAUUGUGACACACAAAGUCUGAGAUGACAGAAGGAGUGUUAUACAGGAAGUCAGAGACGAAAGUGAUAACGUCACACACAAAGCCAGACAUGACUGGGGGAGUGUUACACAUGAAGUCAGGGACAACAAGGUGAGUGUUAGAAACGAUGUGAAAGACACCAAUGGGAGUGUUAUACACAAAGUCAAAGACACCAGGUGAAAUGUUACACAUGAAGUCAGAGAUGCCAAGGGGAGUGUUAUACACAAUGUCAAAGAUGCCAGGUGUAUUAUUAUGAAAUUAGAAAUGCCAGAAGGAUGGUUAUGCAUGAAGUCAGAGAUGUCAUGUGGAGUUUCUCAUAUGAAGUCUGACACCAAGUGGAGUCUUUCCCACAAAGUCAGAAACUCCAGGAGUAUUGUUACACACCAACACAGAGUCACCAGGUGGAUUGUUGCACAGGAAGUCAGAGACACCAUGGUGUUUGUGACAGGCACCUCAGAUUUGCCACUGGGAGUGAGACACACAAAGUCAGAGAAGCCUGAGGGAUUGUGAGACAUUAAGUUAGCAAUGCCAGGCAUAUUGUUACACACAAAGUGAGAGACGCCAUAGAGAGUGUUAGACACAAAGUCAGAGAAGCCACAAGUACUGUUACACACAAAUUCCAAGAUGUCAGGGGAAGUGUGACACACGAAUUAAGAGAAACCACAUAGAAUGUGACACACGAAGUCUGAGACGCCAUGGGGAAGGUUUACACACGAAGCAAGAAAUGCCAUGUGCAGUGGUUCACAUGAAGGCAGAGAUGCCAGAGGGAGUCUUACACACGAAGUCAGAGAUACCACAUGGAGUGUUAGCAUGAUGUCACAGACACCAAGGGGAGUGUUACACAGCAAGUCAGAGAUGCCAGAGGUAGUGUUGCACACAAAGUCCAAGAUGUGAAGUGUAGUGUAAGACAAGAAUUCAGAGAUACCACGGGGAGUGCUACACACAAAGUCAGAGAUGAAAGGACGACUGUGACACAUAAAGUCAGAGACACCACUGGAAAUGUGACACAAAAACUCAGAGAUGCCAGUCUGAGUGUAACAAACGAAGUUAUAGAUGGCCUGGUAGUGUGGCACAUGAAGUCACAGUUGCCAGAGGGAUUGUGACACACGAAAUAUGAGACAAAACGGGCAGUGUAAUAUCCAAAGUCAAAGAUGCCAUUGGGAGUGUUACACACAAUGUCAGAGACAAAAGGGGAAUUGUGACACACCAAGUCAGAAACACCAGGAUGAGGGAUGCAAAUGAAGUCAGAGAUGCCACAGAGAGUGAUACACAUGAUGUCAGAGAUGCAAUAGAGUGUUUUACACAAGAAGUCAGACACUCCAUUUGGAGUGUUACACAUGAAGUCAGAGACUCCAUUGAAGAGUGCUAUGCACGAAGUCAAAGACAACAGGAGGAGUGUUACCCACAAAGUCAGAGAGACCAGGUAGACUGUUACACGUGUAUUCAGAGACGACAGGAAGAAUGUUAUAUAUGAAGUCAGUGUUGUCAUGGAGAAUGUGAUACAGGUCAGAGACCUCAGUUGGAGUGUGACACACAAAGUCAGAGAGGUCGUGUGGAGUGUGACACAUGAAGUCAGGGACACCACUGGGAGUGUUAUACACAAAGUCAUAACUUCUAGUUAGAGUAUUAAACGUGAUGUGAGAGCUGCCAGGGGGACUGUGACACAUGAAGUCAGAGAGGCUGGGGAGAGUGCCAAGGACAAAUUCAGAGAUGCAACUCAGUCGUAGUACACACUAAGUCAGAGAUGCCAGGGAUAGUGUUACACAGGAAGUCAGAGAAAACUGGUAGAGUGUGGCAAUUAAUUUCUGAGAUGUGUCAGGGAAUGGUACACACAAAAUCAGAAAUGCCAGCGGGAGUGUUACGCAUAAAGUGAUAGACGCAGGUGGAUGUUACAUGAAGUCAGAGUUGUCAUGGCAACAUUGACCCACAAAGUCAGAGACACCACUGGGAAUAUUAUACACCUAGUCAGAGACACUUGAAGAGUGUUACACGUGAAGUCAGAGACACUAGUGGGAGUGUUACACAUGAAGUUAAAGACAGCAGGGGGAGUGUGAUGCAUGAAGUCAGAGACACGAUUGGGUGUUACACAUGAAGUCACAGACAACAGGGGGAGUGUGAUACACAAAGUCACAGAAGCCAGGCAGAGUGAGACACAUGAAGUCAGAGGUGCCAGAGGGAGUGUUACACACACAAAUCUGAGAUGCCAGAGGGAGUGUGACACAAAGUCAGAAAAACAAGGGGUAGUGUUACAUAGGCAGUCAGAGGCACUAGGGAGUGUGAUACACACUAAGCCAGAGAUGCCAUGGGGAGUAUGACACACGAAGUUAGAGACACCAGGACAUAUUAUGACAAGCAAAGUCAGAGACACAAUGGUGACUGUUACACUCGAAGUCAGAGAUACCUGAGGUAGUUUGACACAUGAAAUCAGAGAUAACAGGGCAGGAGUGACACAUGAAUCAAAGAUGACAACGGGAGUGUGACACACAAGUCAGAGAGGCCACAUGGAUUUUUACACAUGAAAUCGUAGAUGCCGGGGGAGUGUUAUACAUGAUGUCAGAGAGGCCACGUGGAGUGUUACAGACGAACUCAGAAAUGUCACUGGAAGCAUUACAAAGUUGGAGACUCCAGAGUGAAAGUGUCACAUGUAGUCAGAGCCAACAGGAGACUGUUAAACACUAAGCCAGAGAAGCCACAGGGGAGUGUUAUCCCCAAUGACAAAGACACCAGGAGGAGUGUUACACAGGAAGUGAGAGAUGCUACGGGGGGUGUGACACAGGAAAUCAGAGAUAAGAGGUGGAUUGUGACACAGAAUGUCAGAGAUGCUAUGGGGAAUAUUACACAUAGCUCAGAGACAAGAGAAAGUGAAACACAUUAAUCAGAGAGGCCACAGGGUGUGUUACACACUAAGUCAGAGAUGCCAGGAGUAGGGUGACUCAUGAAGUCAGAGACGAAAGGGGGAGUGUGACACACAAAUCAGUGAUGCUACGGGAAAUGUUAAAAUAGACAUCAGAGAUGCCAGGGUACUGUGAUACAUGAAGUCAGGUAUGCCUGGGUGAGUAUGACACAAGAGUCAGAGUUGCAAUGAAGAGUGUUACAGUCAAAGUCAGAGAUGCCAGGGGAAUGUGACACAUGGAGUCUGAGACUUCACGUGGAGUGUUACGUACAAAGUCAGAGACACCAGCAGGAGAGUGGCACAUGAAGUCAGAGAUGACAGGGAGAAUGUGACACAUGAAGUCACAGACGCCAAAGGGGAGUGGUAUCCACGAAUUCAAAGACAACAGGGAGAGUGUUACACAUGGUGUCAGUGAUGACAGGGGUAUUGUAUCACACAAUGACACAGACAUCAGGAGUGUGACACCCAAAAUCAGAGACAACAUUUGGGGUAUGACACACAAAGUCAGAAACACCAGUGGGAGUGUUACACAUAAUGUCAAAGACAACAUGGGGAUUGUUAUACACAAUGACAGAGAUGACAUUGGGAGUGUGACACCUGAAGUCACAGAUAUAAUGGGGAGUGAGAGGCACAAUGUCAGAGAUGACAGGUGGAGUGUUAGAGAUGAAGUCACAGACAACAAAGGGAGUGUUACACACGAAUCAGGGACACCAGGGCGAGCAUUACACAUGGAGUUAGAGAUGCUAUGGGGAUUAUUAUGCUUGAUAUCAGAGACACCGUGGGGGAGUUUUACACAUAAGGGCAGAAACGUCACAUGGUUUUUUACAGAUGAAAUCAGAAAUGCCAGGGGGAUUGUUACUCACCCAGUCAGAGAUGCCACAUGAGGUUUUACACAGGAAGUCAUAGACAAUGGGAGGGUUUUUACAAACAAAAUCAGAGGUCUUACGGUUAUUGUUACACACAUCGUCCAAGAUUCCAGGCAGUGUGGGACAGAGGAAGGAAAAAACACAGGGUGGAUUGUUACACACAAAGUCCAAGACACCAGGGAGAGUGUGAAACCUGAUGGCAGGGAUGCCAUGGGCAGUGCAACACACGAAAUCAGAGAUGACAAGUGAAGGGUUAGAGACAAAGUCAAAGACGCCAGGGGUAGAGUUAUGCACAACAACACAGAUGCCAGCAGGAGUGUUACACAUGAAAUCAGUGAUGCC
rnacentral:lncRNA from 1 species